rfam:TPA: Bos taurus chromosome 15, whole genome shotgun sequence.
UCCCCAGUAGCUCAGAUGGUAAGGCAUCUGCUUGCAAUGUAGGAGAUCUGGGUUCGAUCCCUGGGUUGGGAA